rnacentral:misc_RNA from 1 species
CCAAUAGCGUAUAUUAAAGUUGUUGCAGUUAAAAAGCUCGUAGUUGAACUUCGGGGUUUACCCAUUGGUCAGGCUUAAUUGUCUGUACUGGUGAGAUGAAUCUCGAAAUUCUGAGGAACUUUCAUGCCAUUUAUUUGGUGUGAUGGGAAAGAAGGACUGUUACUUUGAAAAAAUUAGAGUGUGCAAAGCAGGCUAACGGCUGAAUAAAUUAGCAUGGAAUAAUGAAAUAGGACGGACUGAUUCUAUUUCGUUGGUUUCUAGGAUCCCCGUAAUGAUUAAUAGGGAUAGUUGGGGGCAUUAGUAUUCAAUUGUCAGAGGUGAAAUUCUUGGAUUUAUUGAAGACUAACUACUGCGAAAGCAUUUGCCAAGGAUGUUUUCAUUAAUCAAGAACGAAAGUUAGGGGAUCGAAGACGAUCAGAUACCGUCGUAGUCUUAACCAUAAACUAUGCCGACUAGGGAUCGGACGAAGUUAAUUGUAUAAUGACGCGUUCGGCACCUUACG